AUCAGCGGGGAAAGAAGACCCUG
rnacentral:snRNA from 1 species